rnacentral:lncRNA from 1 species
AAGAGAAUUUCUCUGCUCUUGUGUUCUCUAGUGCUCUUUUAGGGGAGGGGGCUUCCAACUGGGCAGGGUGCGUUAGGUGCCCCUCUCCACCUGCCUCAUCUCAGCCUGUAGUGACAGGCAUUUGCUGGAACAGUAACAGUGACACAACUCACCUCCAGUCUCUGGAAAUCACACUUCUUACAGAUGGAACAUGAGAGGAGGAACUGGGCAAAGCGCCCUUCGUUUUGGGGUUAGACAAAACCCACGCAUUGGACGAGGUGUGUGGCCAAGGGUGUGCCCAGGUUCCGGGACUGCUUUUGCAGGUCUCUCUGUCUUACUCCAGGAUGAGUUAAAGACCCCUGGUACAGCCCAGUGCUGCCAACUACAAUUUGGCUAAUGCGUUAAUUGCAUCUGCUUCAGCGGCCUUCCUUCCGGCUCGGGGACCAUGUCUAU